rnacentral:rRNA from 1 species
AGAGUUUGAUCAUGGCUCAGAGCGAACGCUGGCGGCGUGCUUAACACAUGCAAGUCGAGUGCGCGGUAGCAAUACUGGCGCACGGCGCACGGGUGCGUAACACGUGGGCAACCUGCCCUCCAAUGGGGGAUACCCCCGCGAAAGCGGGACUAAUACCGCAUGAUAUUCCGGGAACGCAUGUUCCUGGAUUCAAAGCUCGUAAGGGCGUUGGUGGAGGGGCCCGCGGCCGAUUAGCUUGUUGGCGAGGUAACGGCUCACCAAGGCUUUGAUCGGUAGCCGGUCUGAGAGGAUGGCCGGCCACACUGGAACUGAGACACGGUCCAGACUCCUACGGGAGGCAGCAGUGGGGAAUCUUGCGCAAUGGGCGAAAGCCUGACGCAGCGACGCCGCGUGGGGGAUGAAGCUUCUCGGAGUGUAAACCCCUUUCGACCCGGACGAAACGCCCGCAAGGGCUUGACGGUACGGGUAUAAGAAGCCCCGGCUAACUACGUGCCAGCAGCCGCGGUAAGACGUAGGGGGCCAGCGUUGCUCGGAAUUACUGGGCGUAAAGGGUUCGUAGGCGGUGCGGCAAGUCGGAAGUGAAAUCUCUGGGCUUAACUCAGAGGCUGCUCCCGAAACUGCCGUGCUCGAGUGCGGGAGAGGCGAGUGGAAUUACAGGUGUAGCGGUGAAAUGCGUAGAUAUCUGUAGGAACACCCGUGGCGAAGGCGGCUCGCUGGACCGCAACUGACGCUGAGGAACGAAAGCUAGGGGAGCAAACAGGAUUAGAUACCCUGGUAGUCCUAGCCCUAAACGAUCAGGACUUGGGGUGCAUCCCGUUGGGGGUGCGUCCCGGAGCUAACGCGUUAAGUCCUGCGCCUGGGGAGUACGGUCGCAAGGCUGAAACUCAAGGAAUUGACGGGGGCCCGCACAAGCGGUGGAACAUGUGGUUCAUUCGACGCACGCGAGACUUACCUGGCUUGACGCGCGACAGCGUGGAACAUCGCUCCCGCAG